AUCUAGGCAAGUCUAGACAAAUAUUUCAUCACAGCUUGAAAGAGCAUCACAAAAUUAGUAAUAUUCCAAAGUUUCGUUGCGAAAUGUUGUAAAAUGAGGAAAAUAGAGCCUUGCGAAGUUUGCAAUUUUCAGUCAUUUUGCAUUACAACCGGGAAAUUGCAGCCCCAACACCCGAAUCGGAUGUCAAUUUCCCGUUUGUAAUACAAAAUGACUGAAAAACGGCAAACUUCGCAAGGCUAUAUUAUCCGCAUUUCACAAGAUUUUGCAACAAAACUUUGGAAUAUUACUAAUUUUGUGAUGCUCUUUCAAGCUGUGAUGAAAUUUUUGUCCAGAUCGAAAUUUUAGUUAUAAGGGGAAAGGUCCAUU